rnacentral:misc_RNA from 1 species
CUCUUCAAUGUCUCCAUUAUUUUGUUGACAAUUCUUUGUCGCGAAUCAGGCUGCAACUGAGCUCUCCAAUCACCGGUGUCAAUUCCAGGGUCGCCACCUUGGGCAUUAGGCCUCCAGUUAUUGUUAUCCAUCAGAUUCCAACCAACGAAAAUAAACUGCCGGUAACCCUUCAGAGUGGAACCCUUCUCGCUGUAUCUGUUGUUCGUUAUCAGGAAGACAUCAAAAGAACAAGAAGAAGAGGUGGAGACGAGCUAAAGAU